rnacentral:rRNA from 1 species
UGAGCUUGAUCCUGGCUCAGGAUGAACGCUAGCGGCAGGCCUAAUACAUGCAAGUCGAACGAUAUUUCCCAGCUUGCUGGGAGAAAAAGUGGCGCACGGGUGCGUAACGCGUAUGCAACCUACCUUAAUCAGGGGGAUAGCCCGAAGAAAUUCGGAUUAACACCGCAUAAAAUCACAGUACAGCAUUGUACAAUGAUCAAAUAUUUAUAGGAUUAAGAUGGGCAUGCGUGACAUUAGUUAGUUGGCGGGGUAACGGCCCACCAAGACCACGAUGUCUAGGGGAUCUGAGAGGAUGACCCCCCACACUGGUACUGAGACACGGACCAGACUCCUACGGGAGGCAGCAGUAAGGAAUAUUGGUCAAUGGAGGCAACUCUGAACCAGCCAUGCCGCGUGCAGGAAGACAGCCCUCUGGGUCGUAAACUGCUUUUAUUCGGGAAUAAACCUACUUACGUGUAAGUAGCUGAA